CCUUAUUUGGCCAGUCAACCAAUUCAAAUCCUCUCCACCUUGAAACCAUUCCUGGACUACUCUGGCCGUAUGGAUGGGACAGCCGUCAUGAAUGAAAAUGACAGGACUAGGUGGAAACGGAUAAUUCCGCUGGUGAAGUGAAGGGAGGAAGAAAUCCUGAAGAAUUUUAACCUAUUUUUCAUUGGUGAAACCCUUCAGUCUUGGUGAUAUCACAUAUACCAUUUCGAAGACCUCCACCACGAAUGACCACCCAUUAGGAUAACGACGACAUUCGACAAGCAGCAGAAGAAGAUCCUUUUACCAAUACUAUUGCUAUUUGUGAACGUUUGGCAUUAAAUGUUUCGGCUAUGACGGUGCGAAGACGUCUGCAUGAGGCAGGAAUACCUCAUAGAAUUCCUGCCAAGAAGGAAUUUCUCGCCGAACGGCAUCGUGCUGAUAGGCUUGCCUUUGUUCAACAGUUUGUGGGGGAGGAUAUGGAAUUUUGGUAUCGAGUCGUAUGCAGUGACGAAAGGUCUUUUACUAGCAGAAGUCACGGCAGAAUACAUAACUGAAGACCGAGUAAUAUAAGAUACUACAGAAGAAACAUUUACGAGGUGACCAGGUGACCAGAAAUGGGCAUGUCACAGUAAACGUGUGGGGCUGGAUCUUCUUACAUUGUAUGGAUGAUUUCACCAGGACUGAGUGGAGGUUCACUGGUGAAAAAUACAUUGAAAUUAUUCUGGAUUUCUAACUUCUUUCACUUCAACAGCGGAAUUAUUCCUCCCCACCUGCUCCUGUCAUUUUCAUUCACGACCGCUGCUCCAUCCAUCCAUACGGCCAGAAUAGUCCAGGAAUGGUUUCAAGGUCGAGAGGAUCUGCAAUUGCUUGACUGGCCAAGUAAGGAUACAGACAUGAACCUCACUGAGAAUAUUUAGGCUAAUUUGGUAAAAUGUUGGGAGCCUGAGAGGGAGAGGAGAUCAGAUCAACUUAUGGACCACUGGGA